UGUUAUUUAAAAAAAAAACCUAAAACUUCAAUUGAUAAUUUUUUUUUUAUGCGAAAAAUACAUACAUUUUCAUGACGACAAAUGCAUUUUGGCAAGGACAUCCGAUGCCUAUAAAACUACCUAACAAAGUCUACGAUGGUUACUCGUAUUAUUGUUAUAAUUCUACUGCUGAAUCCAGGCUUUACCAGUAUGUUGGAUGUUUAUGACCAGGAAGUCAUCAUUAGCGUACUCGGCAGGUAUAACAUAUUUCAAAAAUCAGUUGGCUCCUCGCAAACAACCUGAAAUUAUACUUAUAGAUUUUGAGAGUUCUUUAGAAAUUGCUACUCGCUUAGCAUUCCCAUUAGCAAAAAUUGUCGGCUGUAACUUUCAUUAUUGUCAAUGAAAGCGCUAGGGGUGCUUUACUGACGGUUCUUCCUCGUUGGAAUUCAUCCUAAAAUAUGGAAAUUUACAGUGUCACGGUCGGAGUGAGUGAAGGCGACGGGCGAAAGGGUUAUUUUAUUUAUUAUUUAAUAUCGGAAUACCGAAUUACCUCGUUCUAUAACUCAGCCAAGGAGUUCGAUUGAACCGUCACGUGAUCAUUAUGCAGAGCAACAUUGACGUUGAGUACGUCACGAUGCAAAAAAAUAUCUUCAAGUAGAUGAAUUUCGUGAUGACCAUAAUCAUCUACCAAUGAUUCUAGGGAGAAGGAGAUCGGAAAAACAGCGACCUAAAUCGUUGGAGGAAGCGAAAAAAUUAUGAAAAAAAAUUAAUCCGGAAAAUCCAACGAUAGUGGUAAUAUCUGAAGAUCACCUGAUGAAACCUGUAAUUAAACUCCGCAGAAUUGAUGAGAUGGAAUCGAUAGAAAAAAGAGAAUUUGUUUCAUUUUUAGAAACUUUAAAAGGAAACAUCGAUAUCGAGAGUAUACUUGCAAACACUAAAAAAAUAAAUCUAAUGCAAUUAAGAGUAAUAAAUUAAAGUCAUGUUAGCAAGUAUCUCCGGAUCGAUAUGGAAAAACAUCGCGACCAUUUUGAACAACCUACAUUGAAAUAUUUAAAUAUAUUACUUAAGGGAUCAAAAUAAUAAAUUAAAAAACGUUACAACUCUACUACUGAUUACGUUUUUUAUCCUAAUAUCUCGAACACAAUAAUUAUUAUAAUUGCCAACGUCUAAACCGUGCCAAGGCACGAGCCAGUUGCUAGUACAUUGAUGCCUUCUAAAUGUAUCAUAGAUAAUUAAUUAUUUAAAUUUAAUGAUUUUAUUUCUGCUAGCGUCUAAACCGUGCCAAGGCACGAGCCAGUUGUUAGUACAUUAAGGCCUUCUGAAUGUCGAGACAAAUCGCCUUUCUCUUUGCGAUUCUCACCAGCAGCCACCAGGAUUCGCGGGUUGAACCCUGGCUUAGGCUGGCCUCUACGAAAUUUUUAUUUUUGCUGGGACAGAGCAAUGGGCUAGGGUUCUUGCAAAGCAAGAACCCGCACUUGUCCAAACUCGGCAACGUAUGUAGAAAAACUUAUCAACUUACCUCACGGCUUAUUAUAAAUUUUAGAUUAUUCUUAUAGAUUUCUAAUUUAUGACUUAACUAAUAAUACUGUUGGUUUAUUUAACACUCUUACCAGUAUUUUAGGAUAUAGAUAGGAUAAAAGACGAGAUUUAAUGUAAAGGCUUUAUACUGAAAAUUAUGCAAGUUUAUUGCCAAUUAUAAUAAGUUUCAACCCGGGAAAAAAUGAUUUUGCCUAAUUAUAUAUAAUUAUAUAUAAGACCUUAUAUAUAAUUAGAUCUAAAAAUUGGCCAGGUCUAAUUAUAUAUAAUUUAUAUAUAAUUAUAUAUAGGUUAUAUAUGAUUAUAUAUAAUACGUUAUAUAUAAUUAGAUCUGAAAAUUGGCCAGGUCUAAUUAUAUAUAAUCAUAUAUAAGUUAUAUAUACUCAUAUAUAAUUAGAUAUGAUUAUGUAUAAUACAUAUAUAUCAUAUUUUAUAUAUAAUUAGAUCCGAAAAUUAGGCGGGUUUCAUCAUAUAUAUGAUUAUGUGUAAUUUAUAUACAAUUACGUAUGUUCAUGUACGAUUAAUAUUGAAGUAUUCAGAGGGAAGUUUUUUUUUUAAUUAUACGUUUAAUUAUACAUAAGUUUAUUACUUUUUUAACAGACUGAAAAAUAUAAUGUA